AGUGAACGCUGGCGGUAGGCCUAACACAUGCAAGUCGAACGGCAGCACAGUAAGAGCUUGCUCUUACGGGUGGCGAGUGGCGGACGGGUGAGGAAUACAUCGGAAUCUACUUUUUCGUGGGGGAUAACGUAGGGAAACUUACGCUAAUACCGCAUACGACCUACGGGUGAAAGCAGGGGAUCUUCGGACCUUGCGCGAUUGAAUGAGCCGAUGUCGGAUUAGCUAGUUGGCGGGGUAAAGGCCCACCAAGGCGACGAUCCGUAGCUGGUCUGAGAGGAUGAUCAGCCACUCUGGAACUGAGACACGGCCCAGACUCCUACGGGAGGCAGCAGUGGGGAAUAUUGGACAAUGGGCGCAAGCCUGCUCCAGCCAUACCGCGUGGGUGAAGAAGGCCUUCGGGUUGUAAAGCCCUUUUGUUGGGAAAGAAAAGCAGCAGGUUAAUACCCCGCUGUUCUGACGGUACCCAAAGAAUAAGCACCGGCUAACUUCGU
rnacentral:rRNA from 1 species